CGUGUCGGCUGAAUCAGAGAUUGGCUGGCACAAACACUAACCUACUCUUAUUAGGAGAGAAUUAUGUCUCUGAAUGCAGAAACUAAAGCAGCAAUCGUUGCUGAUUACGCACGUGGCGAA
rfam:Vibrio sp. 2756-81 Vn_2756-81_contig1, whole genome shotgun sequence.